rnacentral:misc_RNA from 1 species
GAACUGCGAUAAGUAAUGUGAAUUGCAGAAUUCAGUGAAUCAUCGAGUCUUUGAACGCACAUUGCGCCCCCUGGCAUUCCGGGGGGCAUGCCUGUCCGAGCGUCAUUGCUGCCCUUCAAGCCCGGCUUGUGUGUUGGGUCGUCGUCCCCUCCGGGGGACGGGCCCGAAAGGCCGCGGCGGCACCGCGUCCGGUCCUCGAGCGUAUGGGGCUUUGUCACCCGCUCGAUAAGGACCGGCCGGGCGCCAGCCGGCGUCUCCAACCUUUUUUUCUCAGGUUGACCUCGGAUCAGGUAGGGAUACCCGCUGAACUUAAGC